GUGCCAGCAGCCGCGGUAAUACGUAGGGUGCAAGCGUUAAUCGGAAUUACUGGGCGUAAAGCGUGCGCAGGCGGUUUUGUAAGUCUGUCGUGAAAGCCCCGGGCUCAACCUGGGAAUUGCGAUGGAGACUGCAAGGCUUGAAUCUGGCAGAGGGGGGUAGAAUUCCACGUGUAGCAGUGAAAUGCGUAGAGAUGUGGAGGAACACCGAUGGCGAAGGCAGCCCCCUGGGUCAAGAUUGACGCUCAUGCACGAAAGCGUGGGGAGCAAACAGGAUU
rnacentral:rRNA from 1 species